GAUGGAAACAUUGGAUGAUGUUUUCUAUUAUUUAAAGUGAUCAGACAAAUCAACAUUUGUUAGAGGCAAAGUUAAAAAAAAAAAUGGGUGAAAUUCUCAAGUUUGUUUAUAAUGUGAUCCUUUUUGGUUCUUUGUAUCUUCUUGUAAUUUAUGCUGAAAGAGAGUGUGAUACUGAUGCUGAUUGUCAGAAAAAAUUUCCUGGCUCUAAUCAACAUCUUUUGUGGUGCAAUAAUGGUUUUUGUGAUUGUCGUACCCACUAAGAUUGGACGCCUACGCCUUUGUGGUAUAGAUAUUUAGGACGAAGAACCGUAGAAGCCGUGAGUUGGGAGACGACGAGGAGUCUUUCUCGUCAUUUUCUUUUCACUUCUUGGAGUCUAUUAUUUAUUUAUUUUUGGUCAAAGCUCUGAUUCUGUAACACUAGGGAGUGGAGUUUAUUUUUAUUGUUCAUACUUUGUUUUGAAAUUCAUAUUUGAAUUCAGUUUAUUUUAUUAAUGACAAUGUUACAAUAUUUUGAAUAAAAUUCUACUACACUGUUUUUAAUUAA